GAUGAACGCUAGCGGGAGGCUUAACACAUGCAAGUCGAGGGAUAGUUUCAGCAAUGGAACGAAAACCGGCGCACGGGUGAGUAACGCGUAUGCAACCUGCCCUUAACCGGGGGAUAGCCCGUCGAAAGGCGGAUUAAUACCCCAUAAUACUGUUGAACUGCAUGGUUUGACAGUUAAAGCUGAGGUGGUUAAGGAUGGGCAUGCGUGACAUUAGCUUGUUGGUAGGGUAACGGCCUACCAAGGCUACGAUGUCUAGGGGUUCUGAGAGGAAGGUCCCCCACACUGGUACUGAGACACGGACCAGACUCCUACGGGAGGCAGCAGUGAGGAAUAUUGGUCAAUGGGCGAGAGCCUGAACCAGCCAUCCCGCGUGCAGGAAGAAGGCCCUAUGGGUUGUAAACUGCUUUUGUGCAUGAAGAACAGCCCGAACGUGUUCGGGUCUGACGGUAAUGCGUGAAUAAGCACCGGCUAACUCCGUGCCAGCCGCCGCGGUAAAAC
rnacentral:rRNA from 1 species